CACAAUUUAUGCUNMAAAAACGAAUUAAACUAUAAAAUUUUACUAAUUAUAAUGUUCUGMGUCGGGUCACCAU
rnacentral:tRNA from 1 species